rnacentral:rRNA from 1 species
AUACAGAGGGUGCAAGCGUUAAUCGGAUUUACUGGGCGUAAAGCGCUCGUAGGCGGCUUGUAAAGUCGGAUGUGAAAGCCCCGGGCUCAACCUGGGAACUGCAUUCGAUACUGGCAGGCUAGAGUAUAGUAGAGGCAAGUGGAAUUCCGGGUGUAGCGGUGAAAUGCGUAGAUAUCCGGAGGAACAUCAGUGGCGAAGGCGACUUGCUGGACUAAUACUGACGCUAAGGAGCGAAAGCGUGGGGAGCAAACGGGAUUAGAAACCCCAGUAGUCC